rnacentral:rRNA from 1 species
UGUGUAGGCGGUUGUUUAAGUUUGGUGUGAAAUCUCCCGGCUCAACUGGGAGGGUGCGCCGAAUACUGAAUGACUAGAGUGCGGGAGAGGAAAGUGGAAUUCCUGGUGUAGCGGUGAAAUGCGUAGAUAUCAGGAGGAACACCGGUGGUGUAGACGGCUUUCUGGACCGUAACUGACGCUGAAACACGAAAGCGUGGGUAGCAAACAGGAUUAGGUACCCUGGUAGUCCACGCCCUAAACGAUGCAUAUUUGGUGUGGGCAGUUCAUUCUGUCCGUGCCGGAGCUAACGCGUUAAAUAUGCCGCCUGGGGAGUACAGUCGCAAGGCUGAA